GAGUUUGAUCAUGGCUCAGAUUGAACGCUGGCGGCAGGCCUAACACAUGCAAGUCGAGCGGAUGACGGGAGCUUGCUCCUUGAUUCAGCGGCGGACGGGUGAGUAAUGCCUAGGAAUCUGCCUGGUAGUGGGGGACAACGUUUCGAAAGGAACGCUAAUACCGCAUACGUCCUACGGGGGAAAGCAGGGGACCUUCGGGCCUUGCGCUAUCAGAUGAGCCUAGGUCGGAUUAGCUAGUUGGUGGGGUAAUGGCUCACCAAGGCGACGAUCCGUAACUGGUCUGAGAGGAUGAUCAGUCAUACUGGAACUGAGACACGGUCCAGACUCCUACGGGAGGCAGCAGUGGGGAAUAUUGGACAAUGGGCGAAAGCCUGAUCCAGCCAUGCCGCGUGUGUGAAGAAGGUCUUCGGAUUGUAAAGCACUUUAAGUUGGGAGGAAGGGCAGUAAGUUAAUACCUUGCUGUUUUGACGUUACCGACAGAAUAAGCACCGGCUAACUCUGUGCCAGCCGCCGACCG
rnacentral:rRNA from 1 species